rnacentral:rRNA from 1 species
GACGAACGCUGGCGGCGUGCCUAAUACAUGCAAGUUGAGCGAUGAAGAUUGGUGCUUGCACCAAUUUGAAGAGCAGCGAACGGGUGAGUAACGCGUGGGGAAUCUGCCUUUGAGCGGGGGACAACAUUUGGAAACGAAUGCUAAUACCGCAUAACAACUUUAAACAUAAAUUUUAAGUUUGAAAGAUGCAAUUGCAUCACUCAAAGAUGAUCCCGCGUUGUAUUAGCUAGUUGGUGAGGUAAAGGCUCACCAAGGCGAUGAUACAUAGCCGACCUGAGAGGGUGAUCGGCCACAUUGGGACUGAGACACGGCCCAAACUCCUACGGGAGGCAGCAGUAGGGAAUCUUCGGCAAUGGACGAAAGUCUGACCGAGCAACGCCGCGUGAGUGAAGAAGGUUUUCGGAUCGUAAAACUCUGUUGGUAGAGAAGAACGUUGGUGAGAGUGGAAAGCUCAUCAAGUGACGGUAACUACCCAGAAAGGGACGGCUAACUACGUG